GAAAAAGCGAUGACGAGGAGGAGUACAUACUUUUCGGAUUUGGAGAGAGAGAACGACCGGUGAAAGUUCUUAUUCUGACUGUAUGGAAGUAGCCUUUGAGCAGUGGAACGAACAGGAGCAUAUCCUUAGUAGCAUCCAACGGAUUCCCACCGUUACAGGGGAACGGUAUAUCAGGUAUAUAACAGGUAUAUAACAUGUAUCUGCGUGCCGGCAGAGUGCGGGAGACUUACCGUGGCGGAUUUUCGGCCGUCCUGACAAAUUUCCCGAAGUUAGGUGGUAACACGGAGUAUAUUCGUCCUAAGU
rnacentral:ncRNA from 1 species